GAACAUAAGAGUUUGAUCCUGGCUCAGAUUGAACGCUGGCGGCAUGCUUUACACAUGCAAGUCGGACGGCAGCACAGAGAAGCUUGCUUCUCGGGUGGCGAGUGGCGAACGGGUGAGUAACAUAUCGGAACGUACCGAGUAGUGGGGGAUAACUGAUCGAAAGAUCAGC
rnacentral:rRNA from 1 species